rnacentral:snRNA from 1 species
GGAUGUGAGGGUGAUCUAGGUACUACAUCUGUUACCCCAGUGAUUGCCAGGGUUGAUUCAGCUCAUGUGGCUGGCUAGGUAGUGUCCCCUUCCUCCCUCACCACUCCAUAUGCAUCCCUCCUGAAGCUGCGCACUUGGUCAAAGAGGACCAUCCCCGAUAGAGGAGGUCCAUUCUUCAGUCAAGGGUAUACAAGUAACUGUGCUCCACUGCUAGAACCUCCAAACAAGCUCUCAGAAAGCUUAAUUUGUAGAAAUAAUGUUGAAUGGUUUAGCCAAUACAAAGACUCAUGUACAUUUAGAAAAUGUAUUCAU